GACGAACGCUGGCGGCGUGCCUAAUACAUGCAAGUCGAGCGGACGAAUCGAAAGCUUGCUUUUGAUUCGUUAGCGGCGGACGGGUGAGUAACACGUGGGCAACCUGCCCUGUAGACGGGGAUAACACCGGGAAAUCGGUGCUAAUACCGGAUAACACGAAAUGUCGCAUGACGUUUCGUUGAAAGACGGCGCAAGCUGUCGCUACAGGAUGGGCCCGCGGCGCAUUAGCUAGUUGGUGAGGUAACGGCUCACCAAGGCGACGAUGCGUAGCCGACCUGGGAGGGUGAUCGGCCACACUGGGACUGAGACACGGCCCAGACUCCUACGGGAGGCAGCAGUAGGGAAUCUUCCGCAAUGGACGAAAGUCUGACGGAGCAACGCCGCGUGAGCGAAGAGGGCCUUCGGGUCGUAAUGCUCUGUUGUUAGGGAAGAACAAGUAACGCAGUAACUGGCGUUACCGUGACGGUACCUAACGAGAAAGCCACGGCUAACUACGUGCCAGCCGCCGCGGUAA
rnacentral:rRNA from 1 species